UACGCUCACAUCACGCUGAAACACCGGUUCGCGUACGAUCACCAAAGUUAAGUAAACGUCAAAACUGGUCAGUACCUAGAUGAGUGACCGCUUGUGAAUACUAGGUGCUGUAAG